rnacentral:rRNA from 1 species
AACGAACGCUGGCGGCAGGCCUAACACAUGCAAGUCGAACGAGAAGCCACCUUCGGGUGGUGGACAGUGGCAGACGGGUGAGUAACGCGUGGGAACGUGCCUUUCGGUUCGGAAUAACCCAGGGAAACUUGGGCUAAUGCCGGAUACGCCCUUCGGGGGAAAGAUUUAUCGCCGAAAGAUCGGCCCGCGUCGGAUUAGCUUGUUGGUGGGGUAAAAGCCUACCAAGGCGACGAUCCGUAGCUGGUCUGAGAGGAUGAUCAGCCACACUGGGACUGAGACACGGCCCAGACUCCUACGGGAGGCAGCAGUGGGGAAUAUUGGACAAUGGGCGAAAGCCUGAUCCAGCCAUGCCGCGUGGGUGAAGAAGGCCCUAGGGUUGUAAACCCCUUUCAGCGGGGAAGAUAAUGACGGUACCCGCAGAAGAAGCCCCGGCUAACUCCGUG